GGACUACCGGGGUUUCUAAUCCUGUUUGCUCCCCACGCUUUCGCGCCUCAGCGUCAGUACCGUCCCAGCGAGCUGCCUUCGCCAUUGGUGUUCCUCCUGAUAUCUGCGCAUUUCACCGCUACACCAGGAAUUCCACUCGCCUCUUCCGGACUCUAGCCCGACAGUAUCCACCGGCAUUCAAGGGUUGAGCCCUUGACUUUCACAGCGGACUUACCGGGCCGCCUACGCGCUCUUUACGCCCAAUGAUUCCGGACAACGCUUGCCCCCUACGUAUUACCGCGGCUGCUGGCAC
rnacentral:rRNA from 1 species